rnacentral:rRNA from 1 species
GGACUACAAGGGUAUCUAAUCCUGUUUGCUCCCCACGCUUUCGCGCCUCAGCGUCAAUUACAGGCCAGAUGGCCGCCUUCGCCACCGGUGUUCUUCCCAAUAUCUACGAAUUUCACCUCUACACUGGGAAUUCCGCCAUCCUCUCCUGCAUUCCAGCGCCGCAGUAUCAAACGCAAUUCCCAGGUUGAGCCCGGGGAUUUCACGCCUGACUUACAGCACAGCCUACGCGCCCUUUACGCCCAGUAAUUCCGAACAACGCUAGCCCCCUUCGUAUUACCGCGGCGGCUGGCAC